GAAUUUUCUCGCUUAAUUGACGGUGUUUUGGACGGUUUCCGUCAAGAUGGACCUCAGGUGUAUAUUUAUGAAAGGUUAGGGACCUUCGCUAGCAAAAAAUAAAAGUGAGGAUAAAGUCUGCAAAAAAACAAAAAGGUUAGGGAUCGUUGCUUCAAUUUUCCCUAAAGAAUGUGAUGGCAUGAAACUUUGUAUGACAUUCCUUGAGAGGAAGGUCGUGCUGGUUAAGGGAUCCCUAACCCAAGGUGUUUAGCAGUUCCCCUCGUUAGUCUUGUAGUCCUCUUGCCUUGGAUUGCCAAUUUUAAUCCUUCAAUGUAAUGAACAAUUUGUUGGUUUUCUGUUUUUUAUUCUGGCAAUUGAAGGGUAAAAUUCUUCAGUAUACUUCGUUAACUGGUCUAAUUAUUGUUGACAAUUUUCUUAUGGCCUGUAAAGCAG
rnacentral:lncRNA from 1 species